rnacentral:rRNA from 1 species
GCGCACCAGUCUAGAAUUUUUGACAAUGGGGGAAACCCUGAUCGAGCGACGCCGCGUGGAGGAUGAAGGUCUUCGGAUUGUAAACUCCUGUCAUUGGGGAACAAGGUGCAUACGUUAACUGCGUGUGUAUUGAUAGUACCCGAAGAGGAAGGGACGGCUAACUCUGUGCCAGCAGCCGCGGUAAUACAGAGGUCCCAAGCGUUGUUCGGAUUCAUUGGGCGUAAAGGGUGCGUAGGCGGCGCGGUAAGUCGGGUGUGAAAUCUCGGAGCUUAACUCCGAAACUGCAUUCGAUACUGCCGUGCUUGAGGACUGGAGAGGAGACUGGAAUUUACGGUGUAGCGGUGAAAUGCGUAGAUAUCGUAAGGAAGACCAGUGGCGAAGGCGGGUCUCUGGACAGUUCCUGACGCUGAGGCACGAAGGCCAGGGGAGCAAACGGGAUUAGAUACCCCCGUAGU